UGCCUGGAGGACUAGUGGCUAGGCCACAGCGAUCUCACCGCUGUGGCCCGGGUUCGACUCCUGGCCAGGGAU
rnacentral:tRNA from 1 species